rnacentral:rRNA from 2 species
AUCCUGGCUCAGGAUGAACGCUGGCGGCGUGCCUAACACAUGCAAGUCGAACGGAGUUAAUAAAGUAGUUUACUACAUUAUUAACUUAGUGGCGGACGGGUGAGUAACGCGUGGAUAACCUACCUUACACAGGGGGAUAACACCGAGAAAUCGGUGCUAAUACCGCAUAAGUAAGUAUGUCGCAUGGCAUAGUUAUGAAAGCUGAGGCGGUGUAAGAUGGGUCCGCGUCUGAUUAGCUAGUUGGUGGGAUAAAAGCUCACCAAGGCAACGAUCAGUAGCCGGCUUGAGAGAGUGAACGGCCACACUGGGACUGAGACACGGCCCAGACUCCUACGGGAGGCAGCAGUGGGGAAUAUUGCACAAUGGGGGAAACCCUGAUGCAGCGACGCCGCGUGAAGGAAGAAGGUCUUCGGAUCGUAAACUUCUAUCAGCAGGGAAGAAGGAAGUGACGGUACCUGACUAAGAAGCCCCGGCUAACUACGUGCCAGCAGCCGCGGUAAUACGUAGGGGGCAAGCGUUAUCCGGAAUCACUGGGUGUAAAGGGUGCGUAGGCGGUAGGGCAAGUCAGAUGUGAAAGCCCGGGGCUCAACUCCGGGAUUGCAUUUGAAACUGUCUUACUAGAGUGCAGGAGAGGGAAGCGGAAUUCCUAGUGUAGCGGUGAAAUGCGUAGAUAUUAGGAAGAACACCAGUGGCGAAGGCGGCUUUCUGGACUGUAACUGACGCUGAGGCACGAAAGCGUGGGGGAGCGAACAGGAUUAGAUACCCUGGUAGUCCACGCCGUAACGAUGAGUGCUAGGUGUCGGAGGGUACCACCUUCGGUGCCGCAGCUAACGCAUUAAGCACUCCGCCUGGGGAGUACG